UACGGAGGAUGCAAGCGUUAUCCGGAAUGAUUGGGCGUAAAGCGUCCGCAGGUGGCAAUGUAAGUCUGCUGUUAAAGAGUCUAGCUCAACUAGAUAAAAGCAGUGGAAACUACAUAGCUAGAGUACGUUCGGGGCAGAGGGAAUUCCUGGUGUAGCGGUGAAAUGCGUAGAUAUCUGGAGGAACACCGGUGGCGAAGGCGGCGUUCUGGACUGUUACUGACACUGAUGAACGAAAGCCAGGGGAGCAAACGGG
rnacentral:rRNA from 1 species